AUGUCAAGGUAUGGAGGAAAUAUUGACUGUGCUAGCAAGUCAAUCCAUCUCACCACCCCGGAGGGUAAAAGGAUUAAGUACGUAUCUAGGCAUGUGCCUAGGAGGACCCAAGUGAAUGCCCUCACGGGAGUUGUGGAGGAGGAAGUGCCUGUAGUAAUGGAUUACCCGGAUGUUUUCCCAGAAGAAUUACCAGGGAUGCCACCAGAUCGGGACAUUGAGUUUUUGAUAGAAUUGUUGCCAGGUACAGGGCCUAUAUCCAAGAGACCCUAUCGGAUGCCCGCAAAUGAUCUAGAGGAAAUUAAGAAA
rnacentral:rRNA from 1 species